UCAUCUUAAUUUAUAUCUUACUUACAUCUGCAGAAACCCUAUUUCCAAAUAAGACCAGAUUCACGGGUACCAGGUACAGUAUUCGAGUAGGUGCUCAGUAGAGAUGUGGUGGAAGACUGAGCUAUACUUCCCAACUUGAUAAGACAGAGCCCUCUGUGUUCUGACUCCAUCAGAUCCUCAGCUUUAUCUUCUCCCUUUCCUCUGACUCCCACUGCUCCAUGGAUGUUAACAUUUUGCUUGCAAUUUUCUUCAUACACAAAGUAUUCUAACAUAUGUGUGUUACUCCUUUUCCUUGUGAUGACCUUUCUUCAUUUCUUCACCUGACUAAUUCUAUCUCAUGUUCAGUAUUCAGCUGACACAUCAGCAUGGAAAGCCUGCCUAACAAUGCCCUCAAUGCUAAGUAAAUAGUUCUUAUAUCUUAUACUUCUAUAUAUCUAUAUUCUUCUUAUAUCUAUAUACAUCUUAUAUGUCUAAGUAAAUGUUUCCUUAUACUUCUUAUAUCAUCUUAUGCCACCCUGAACAAAUAUCUAACACAGUAUAUUUCACAUAAUAUUGCAAUUAUCUUUUCUUUCUCCAUGACUGUGUCUCCAAGUAUUAACUCCUAAGGAAGAGGAAGAUUAUUGUGGUUGAGUCCUAUUUCCCCCCAAGUGAAUUAAGUGGAAAUUCUAGCCCUGGUACCUGUGAGUCUGGGCUUAUUUGGAAAUAGGGUUUCUGCAGAUGUAAUUGAGAUGUAAAUUAAGAUGAGGUCAUGCUGGAAUAGGAUGGGCCCUUAAUCCAACAUGACUGACAUCUUUCUAAUAAGAGGAGAGACACAGAGACAGACACCCAGAGAAGAAGGCCACGUACAAUAGAGGCAGAGAUUGAAGCGAUGCAGUUGCAAAUCCAGGAAUACCAAGGACUGUCAGAAACCACCAGAAACUUGGAGGAAGCAUGGAGGGGUUCUCCCCCAGAGCUUUCAGAGAGAACGUGGCCCUGCUGACAUCUUAACUUCAGACUUUUAGCCUCUGGAAUGAUAAGAGAAUAAAUUGUUGUUUGUACCUACCCAGUUGUGGCACUUUGUUACAGCAGUUCUGGAAACUAACACAGAGCUUGUCUUAUUUAAUAUCAUAUUUAAAGUAUAAGAAAGAAGGGAACAACAGACACUGGGGACUCCUUGAAGGAGGGGGUGGAAGGAAGGAGAGGUUCAGAAAAACCACAACCACCAACACCACAACAACAGCAACUGUUGGGUACUAUGCUUAGUACCUGGGUGACAAAAGAACUGUAUCCCAAACUCCUGAGUCAUGAGUUUACCUGUAUAACAAAUUAGUAUCUAUACUCCAGAACCCAAAAUAAAGGAUAAAAUAUUUUUUUAAAAAAGCUUUUAUACUUGUUUCUGCAUACCCCCUAAAAAUAAAGUGUCUACAUAAUUUUUGGCACUUAAUAGACAGUCAAAUGAUUGUUUAAUUGCCAUUUAAAUGAAUAUGAAACCAUCUAGAAUGUUCCACUGCUUUUCUCCCUUCUUAUUCACCAUCUAUCCAAAUCCUACUCGGCCACAUGACCCCACAUAAUUGCCUGUCAUCCUAGUCAAUCAGCUCUUUCUGCUGUGGAUUCUUAAGCCAUUUUAUUGUUUAUUAUGAUUUUAAUCCUAGAUGUUUCAAUGCACCGCAAUGCACACCUUGCCUUUCCCAAAUAUUCCACACAUUGAAGUUCUGGAGGAAACUCUAUCUAGGCUAUCUAGCAUUAGUAAGACUUCAGAAUGGUCACCAUUGACCAAAGUCCUCAAUUGCCCUUGCUGUCACUGAAGAAGAAAUCUGAGAACUUUGACCGGUAACAAGAGCUGAACGUUACAGAUAUGUGGGACAUAUAGACCCUGCCAACCUAGAGAGCUGGAAGCUAGAGGCUGCAGCAAACACACACAGAACCCUCUUGUCAUCUCCUGUAAUGAGGUCCAGCAUAUCCCAGCUUUCUAUGGGAUGGCUCACGCUGAUGCACUUGCCCCAAAAAGCAAUGCAACUUUUAGUAAGUACAGGUUGAAUUACGAUCAGUAAAUGGUAGCAGAAAAGAAUGACACUGAGAAAGUUACCCAUAUGCUGUCUUCAUGCUUUUUCCAGCCAUUAUCCUGCGAUUCUUCCUUCCCAGCAUAUACUUAACUGGCUGGAGAAGGGGACUUUUAAUAAUAAAAACCUAGCAUUCCUAAGCUGUAAGAAAAAUGUACAAAUGCUAUCAAUUCUACCCUUCUAAAGCAAGACCAUGUGCCAGAAAACAUUUUGUAAACUUCAAAGAGCUACAUCAAGAGCUACUGCCAUUGAUUUAAAAAUGUGUGCAUGGCAUUUCUUGAUGAUUUUUAUAGAGCCAAUAGUGGUUUGUUUCCAUUAUCUUAAUCUAGUUAUUUUAAAUCUGUUUUUAUCAUGUCAGUAUUAAUUUUGUUAAAAUAGUGUCUUAGUCAGCUAGGGCUACUGCAAUGAAACACCACAGACAGGGUGGCUUAAGCUACAGACAUUUAUUUCUCACAGUUUUGCAGGUUGGAAGACCAAGAUCAAGGUGCCAGCAAAUUCUCCUCCUGGGGAGGGCCUCUCUUUCUGGCUUGCAGAUGACUGCCUUCUCACUGUGUCCUCACACGGUGCAAAGGGAAAGCUCUGACCUCCUCCUCCGAUUCUAAGGACAAUGAUCUCAUCAUGAGGGUUCCAUCCCCAUGACUUCAUCUACACCUAAUUACUUCCCAAAGGCCUCACCUUCAAAUACACUGGGGAUUAUGACUUCAACAUAUACAUUUGGAGGGGACCACGAACACUCAAUUCAUAACAAAUAGAAUGUGAUUUGAAGCAACAGUUUUUGCUCACAUAGCAAAAUCCUUUCUAUUCUAUAAAUUAAAGAGGAGAUAGUGUGGAAUACUUAAUUCUGAAUAUUCAUAGAGGCAUAAAAUGUUUAUCUUAUUAUUCUAAAAAGCCUAAAUAUAUAUUCUAGAAAUCAGUGGAAUGAGGACUGUAGGUUUUAUUCCUGGCCCCAGCACUUACAAGCUGUGUCAUUUUGGAUAGGUUUCCAAACCUCUUAGAAGAGGCUCAUACUGGCCAAAUCUGGGACAAUUUGCACAUCAAUACAAAUGAUGAUAGUAGAGGAUUAUAGCCCACUGAAUAAAAUAGGAAUCCAUGUGUCUUCAAUAAAUAAAUAGAGAGAUGAUAAGGUUUUAGAUACCAAUAAUAUAGAUGUAGAUGAAAUGAUGGGGUCGCCCAAUCUUUUGACAACUGUCAUAGAAAGAAUUCAUUCGGGUAAGAAACACCAAUGGAUGCUAAAACUAGGAAAUGAAAAUGGAAUUUGGAACAGGAUUUUGCACCUUGUCAAAGAAACUUCUCACAAAAUAUCUGUUAACUACAAAGGUGAGAAAAGUAAUUUUAAUGUAGAAAAACUGGCUGACACCAAGUGAUCAAAAUUAAUAUAUUAAUGAGGCAAAUGGGCAUCAUGUGCCACCAGAAAAGAGGCAAUGGGAACACAGCAUUACUGGUGUGAAGUUUUGGCCAAAAACACAUAACCUGGAUCUAAUCAUGGUCAAACAUUGGACAAACCCAAAUGGAGAGACACUGCAAAAUAACUUGUCUAUGAUCUUCAAAAAUAUCAACAUAAGAAAAGUCUAGGAAUGGCUGAGUGGCUGGUUCAAGUUAAAGGAAAUCAGAGAGAUAGGACAACUUGGAGCAAUGUGUGAUACUGGAUUGGAACUUUUUACCAUAAAGAAAGUUAUUAGGAAAAUGAUAAAACUUGAAUGGCAUCUCUGGGUAAAUGGGGAUCCAGCAAUUCUUUGCGCUAAUCUUAUAAUGUUUUUCAACUUUGAAAUUGAUUAAAAUAAUAUGUAAAAACAUUGUAAAAAGAUAAAAACAAUGCAAAUUAUAUAAAACACUACAUAUUGUGAUGAGAGGAAACUAGUUGUGUAAAGAAUUUUGAAUUAAAUAUUAGAUUAAAUAUGAAUUUGGGGAGACUUUAGUUACCACUGUUAUUUUUGAGAAUAAUAAAAGAUAUUUCUGUUCUUGAUAGAUUAAUGCUAGUGCUUGUGAAACAAAAUCUCAAAACUUAAAAUGGCCUGUUGCUUUGAUCUUCUAAAUCCUAGUGUUAUUUGAGAGAAGCUGAAAAGUAAAUGAAAUUUUAUUCAAUCAUGUACAUAGUGCAUUUAAUUAUAGGCAUUAUGUAGGGGACACAUGAAAGCAUUCUGGUGGUAUCUUUUGUGUUUCUUCUAUGAUAAGAACAAUGGAAUUGUUUUGUGCAUGUAGGAGCGGACACAUCUUUCCAGGGGAUAAUGCAAUUUAGAGGCUCUUUGUGUUUUAAGUGUUUCUCAGGACUGAUUAAAGCCUUGCACUUGGAUUGGAAAGCGAAUGCUCAUCUGUCUAAUGAAUGUCCUUUCAUUGCAUGAACUUAAGUAGGAGUUAGAGUCAUGACAGGAUUACACAAAGGCAGGUGGCCCAUGAGAAGGGCUGAGGCAAAGUUAAUAGGAAAAGUCUUGGCAUUUAGAGUUUGAGAGAUAUUUACAGAGUUAUUGGAAAUUAGAUUUUCUUAUGCUUUAAUCUAUAAAAUUAAAUAUUUCUUCAUUGUAAUGUGUAUAUUUUACUCACCAUUUUAUCCCUAUUGCCUAGAGCAGCAUCAAUAAAUAACUGGUAGAUGAAUGAGUGAAUUGGAAACUGAAUAAAUAAAUAACAAUGAAUGAUUGAAAUGAAUUAUUGUUUCUCUUAUUGACUAUUAAUUUCAACCUCUCUUCUUCCAUUUCCAACUUUCUAGAGCAGAGAAACUACAACUACAACUAAGGGGCUAAAUCUAGCUUACUGCCUGUUUUUAUAAGUAAAGUUUUAUUGGAAAACAGCCAUACCCACUUGUUUAUGUAUUGUCUAUGGCUAUGUUCAUGAUAUAAUAGCAUAGCUGAGUACUUGCAACACAGACUACAUGAUCCAUGAAGUCUACAAUGCUUACUGUCUGGCUCAUUUUACAGAAUUGUUUGCUGACCCUUGUUCUAGAGCAUGAUCAAGUGCUUAGGCUUUAAAUAAUGGUAAUGCCCAAUAGUGGGAGCCUGAUGGGAUUUGCUAUCAGGAUAUGAUUCAUAACAACAAUUUCAACUUCUUAGGACCCCUUGCAGGCAACUCAUAAAAGAAAAUCUUCCUGUUUGCUUUUUAUGCUAUGCAUUAGGAAAACAGGAGCUUCUCUGAGUAUUUAAAAAUAAGUAAUUUGAAACAGAUAACUGUUUACAAAGAUGUGAGAAGGAAUGGUGGGACAAAGAUGGGAAGGUCACAGGUUAGUAACUGCAGAAAACAAUAAGACUGCCCCAAAAGCUGCAAAAAAAAGAAAAUAAUGAAUGAUGUUACUCGGAGCCCACAAUCGUUGCACCACAACAUUGGUGCUGUUGGACUAGCUGCCUGAGUAGGAGCCCACAACUACACAUGUGCCACCAGCACAGCUGCUGCCACUACCAAAGGUGCCACCAAAAGAUGUAAUUAACAUGCUUUUUCCUCCCUUUCACUUUCCAGGCUCCCAUCAGUGGCCCCUGCCACGGCAUAAGCUAACACAAAGACAGCUGGCAUUUGGUGUCCGACAGAUGUAGUUUACAGGCUGCUAGCCUCAGAAGUAGAGAGAAGUAGGAACAAUGAUUGUAAAGCUGAGUGACAACAGGAACUACCUGCAAAAUGCUCAUAUUUAACUAGCUUGAUCUUGAAGUUUAUAGUCUCAUAUGAAGAUCCUCCCUAGUAGUGGUGGUGGUGGUGGUGGUGGGAGGGAAAGGUGCCAUAAAAAAACACACAAUGGGGCCGGGCACCGUGGCUCACACCUGUAAUCCCAGCACUUUGGGAGGCCGAAGCGGGCGGAUCACGAGGUCAGGAGAUCGAGACCAUCCUGGCUAACACGGUGAAACCCCGUCUUUACUAAAAAUACAAAAAAUUAGCCGGGGGUGGUGGCGGGCACCUGCAGUCCCAGCUACUUGGGAGGCUGAGGCAGGAGAAUGGCAUGAACCUGGGAGGUGGAGCUUGCCGUGAGCCGAUAUUGCGCCAGUGCACUCCAGCCUGGGCGACAGAGCGAGACUCCUUCUCAAAAAAAAAAAAAAAAAAAAAAAGACACAAUGAGAGGGAACAGUAUAUAAGAAGUCAAAGAGUUGUGAAAGAGUAUAUAAAGUAAGAGAAUUUGUUAUCCCUUGCUUGAAAAUAUAUGAUGUGUAGAGAGAAGCACUACUUGUCAAACUAGAGAGAUAAAGUUGGAUAUGGGAGAAAUAGUAAAUCUCAUGCCUAAUUUAUAAAUAAGAAAUAGACUUCAUUAUGAAAUUUUACCAUACUUUGUUCAUUUUGGGUUGGAUAUUCUUCACCAAUAGCCAGAUUUCAGCCACCUAGGCCAAGUGUCUGUAAAAGGGACCAAAGGAAGUUUCAGUUUUUAUGAUGACUCAGAUCGAUUAGCAAUGGCUGCCUGUAGAUCUGAAUGGUGCAGGAUUCUGAGCAACUUCUAGGUUCUUGGGAAAGAGUACCAGGUUUGAUUUAUGAUGUCUACUACCAGCAUAGGAAUGGGACAACGUGUGCUGAUGUAUAAUAGUGUACAUACAUGAGGAUGUUCAAUAAUUUAGUCAUUUUUGAUGACAGCAAAAGGAUUUGUUAAGAGUAUAUGCCAUGACAAGGUAAGUCUUCAAUAUAUAGUUUUAUAGAAAAAAACAAGCAGUUUUAUAGAAAAAAAAAGUCUACAGUGGGUUCUUGGAUUAGCCUCCAAUUGUUCUUUGUUAAAAAAAAAUGGUGACAGCAUGGAUAAGUGUUGUAAGGGAACAGUUUCUGGUUGUUCUGACUCAGGCACCCUUCUUAGAUUACCUGCUGCAUUCGUUGCACGGGAUCUUGCCUGGGCAAGAUAUGUUGCUUUAGGACACCUCUUCAGAAAUUCUUUGUAUAGAAGUAUAAAUUUUAGUCCACAAAAUCUUAUACGAAUCAAACAUAUCACUUUUUAAAUACAUUAACUUAAUUUUUACAUCGUUCCAACUAUCCUGGUUGUGAGUAGGAAAGCAAAACCAAGUGAAUUAAGAGCAUCACAGCACAUAUUUCUCAGGGUGGAUUUUAGAAUAACAGAGACCCUGCCGAGUCCUGGGGAGGCUGAUCUUGUAAGACAUUUACUGAGCCCUGUGCUGUCGUUGUCUUGCCUACAAGUCCUCUUUGGGUCUUAGGUACACAUGGUGAAUUAACUGAUCCACCUCAUGCUGGGGUAUGGAAAAUUUCUGGGAUGCUAUCAAGAGUGCUACACACACACACACACACACACACACACACACACACACACACACACACAGCUAUUUCCCUGCAGCUGCCUUCUUCUUAUCAUCCUGGAGCCUCAACUGACAAGCAAAGCACACAUCCUCACGGCUCUGCUUUUGUAAAGCAAUCUUACUCUUUUUUCUCUUUCACAGAGGUGGCCAGAAAGGAGAAAGGAAUUUAGGGACCUUCACUGCUGCAUUCUGGCUCACUCCCUCCAGCUCUACUUCCCUAGUUUUUGAAGUUGGGGAGCAUUGACUACUUGAAUUGUGAUGCAGGAAGAGUAAGGGUGAGAGGUGAGGAAAGCCUUUAGCAUAAGAAUAUUCUCAACAUAUUUGCUUCUAUAAUUACCAAAACAAUAGCCUUUAAUUACUUAAGCUUUAUAUGGCAAUGCAGAAUUUUAUGCAAAUGCUGCAGGUCAGACAUGUAUUUUUUCAGAUCUCACUGUUCACUUCCUUAUGUCCCUCUUUGGUUUUUCUUUCACAGAAGAGAAAAUAAGUGAAUGAACGAUCUGGGUUAAUACCUUCAUUUUGUAGAUGAGAAAGCAAACAGACAAACUUAACCCCAAAUUCACACACUGAUUUGUGGCAGAGCCAGUAAGAACCAAGUCUGUGGAUUCUGAGGUCAGAAUAUUUCCUCCACAGCUUUGCUUCUCCAAAUGUGGGGAGCAUGAAAAAAAUGGAGGGAAAUGAUUCCAAUCAACAUUUUACAAAAGAAGAUACACAAACAUCUAGCAGUGCAUUGUUAACUAACAGGUUAAUUAAGUUCAUUACUCUUUAGAGAAAUACAAGUUAAAACCACCAGGUUAAGCCACUCCAUGCUCACUAGUAUGACAGAAAUAAAAGAGACAAAAUGCCAACUGCUCAAAAGGAUACAGAGCAAUUACACCCUUAAACACUGUGAUAGGAACACAAAGAUGUUUGUUGAUGUCAUAUAAAUUUAAAUCUAUACUUACCAUAUGACUCAGCAAUCCUAUACUUCUAGAUAUUUAUAUGAGAAAUAAAAACAGAUAUCCAUAAAAAAUUAAUAUAAGAAUGUUCAUAACAUCCAUAUGCAUAAUGGCCUAAAACUUAAAACAACCUGUACCUCUAUGAACAGAGGAAUCAAAUAAAAUUCUAAUAUAUUCAUAAUUUGGAAUAAUGUUUGCAAGAACAAACUUCUUAAACCUAUAACAGUGUGGCUGAAUUUCAAAAAUAUGAUGAGCUAAGCAAACCACACACAAACAUAUACACAUACAUAAACACUCACACACACAUAUUUUGUAUAAUUACAUUUAUAUAAAGCCCGAGGACAGGAAAAUAUAACCAAUAAUAACAAGCUAUCUCUGAGCAAAAGUAAGAGUUUAGCAAAGGGCACUAGGGAACAUUCUCAGAUGAUAGAAUUGUUCCAUAUUUUAUUUCUGGUGAUAAUGACCAGGUAGGUUCAGUUGGGUCAAAUGAGUUAAAAUCAUGACAAACUCAAUAUCCAGGAUUUGUACAUUUUAUUUUGUAAAAAUUAUGUGUGGUAGAAAAACAUCAGAAAUAAAGUAAUAUAACAGUGGUAUUAAAAAAAUGUAAGAUUCCAGGCCAACUCUGGGCACACUGCCUAUGAGUUUGCCCUGCUUCUCAUGGAGCAGUAAAAAACAAACAGCAACAACGACAAAAGUAAGAUCCUGAAAUGAAUCUGGGGAGAGAUACAGAUGUGGCUUCUUUAACUCUGCCAAUCAGAGAUUCUAGUAAGAUAAGUCUUGGCAAAGCCGAGAAAUUUGCCUGGUAAUAAGCCUCCUUAGGUGUUUCUGACACAGACGUCCAGAGGACCACACUUUGAGAAACACCACUCUUAAUUUUACUGCUGAGAAAUAUUCUUAACACUAUUUUUAAUGUUUCCCUUUGAUUGCCCGCUUUCUACUUCUGUGAUGUUGGGUAACUUUUCUCCACAUUUCAGCACUUAUACCAGUCUAAAACAAUCCUGUCCCAUAGUCUGAAUAUCUGGAUUGGUUUCCCUGGCCCACUAACUGGGUUUGAUUAUGUGAACUCUCAGAACAUAUUAAAAACCCUUAAUUAAAACACUUGUAGGAAUCCACAUUCUCUUUGGUGGCACAUAUUUGCUUCAGGCCCGAAACCUAUGUACCUGUCCUGUAAUUUUUAUGUUGUUCUUCUGCUGCUGUUGCUUCUCAACUGGAAAGCAUGAAUGAGAAAAUAACGCUUUGUAGGUGCAACACCUGCCAAAGAAUGUUGCCCAUAAUAUAUGCUUAAUAAAUGGUGUUGGCUUGAAUUGGAAUGGAUAGUUAAGAAAAAAAAGAAAUCAAUAAAGCAGCACUUUGACAGUAUGAGCUUGAGAAGAGCUUCUUCAUUUCAAAUAAGUGAAGACACUUGAGACUUACUUUUUAUAGCACAUGUUAUGUGUCUGGCACUGUGUAGUUACUUUGUUUUCUCAUCAAAUCCACAUGUUUACCUUAUAAAGUAGAUACAUAUUAUCCUCAUUUACAGAUGAGGAAAUUCAGGCUUGAAGUGGCUGAGUGGCUAAGAUCAAAUAAAUAUUGCAUCACUGAGAUUUAAAAAAAAAAUUUUGUGAGGCAGAAAUAAACAACCAAAACUAUUUUAGAAUCUUAGAACAACAAAUGUUUACUUUUUUGUGGGUCAGACUUGGCCCUGUUUUAUACAUAUUCAUAUUGAAGAAAAUAGACUGAAAGAGAAUGCACUAUCCAGGACAUAUUAUCUUCACAGGAGAGAUCACUAUGCAGCCAUGCGAUGGCUCUGAAGUUGCGCUAGAACAUCGAAUCAGCUCUUCUCCCAUUGGCAACGACAAAACUGUCUAAUCCCCUUAAAGGAAAUGGUGAAGCGAACACUUAGGAAAAAAUAAAAUACAGUCUGCUAAAAAUGGUAACUGGCAAAGCCAGGAUUUAAAGUCAGAUAUGUCUUGUUAAGGCCCUUUCACUUACCACUUAAAUAAUCCAUUCAUUCAUUCACUGAUUCACUAAUUCAAUAAUUAUAUUUUAGUCUAUAAGUAGCCUGUAGUGACUGAGAAGAUGUGAUUUGGACCCAGAAAGAUCUGUCUCGGAAUCCUAUCUCUUUCAUUUAUUGACUAUGCAAUAAUAGGAAUUAUAUUCCACUGCAAAAUGAAGUUGAAAAUUUUAAACAUUUAUCCUGAAAAUAAUGACAGGAGUACAAACUCCACCUGUGCAAGUGUGAGAUCUUCCAUUCACAGCUUGGAACACAUGAACCCCUGGAAGUUUUUUUUAUCUUUCUGGCAUUUCCUCUUGUUUCUAUGGGUCCAAGAUUUUAGGAUUCUGGAGAUUAAGAAUAUACUAACUAAACAAUUUUGGAAAUGGAUUUUAUUUUGACACCUAAACACAUUAAACAAACUAGCAUCUACUAGAACAAUCAUUUCACAUUUUAAA
rnacentral:lncRNA from 10 species